rnacentral:rRNA from 1 species
UCCUGUCUGAAUAUGGGGGGACCAUCCUCCAAGGCUAAAUACUCCUGACUGACCGAUAGUGAACCAGUACCGUGAGGGAAAGGCGAAAAGAACCCCGGCGAGGGGAGUGAAAAAGAACCUGAAACCGUGUACGUACAAGCAGUGGGAGCACCUUCGGGUGUGACUGCGUACCUUUUGUAUAAUGGGUCAGCGACUUAUAUUCUGUAGCAAGGUUAACCGUAUAGGGGAGCCGCAGGGAAACCGAGUCUUAACUGGGCGUUAAGUUGCAGGGUAUAGACCCGAAACCCGGUGAUCUAGCCAUGGGCAGGUUGAAGGUUGGGUAACACUAACUGGAGGACCGAACCGACUAAUGUUGAAAAAUUAGCGGAUGACUUGUGGCUGGGGGUGAAAGGCCAAUCAAACCGGGAGAUAGCUGGUUCUCCCCGAAAGCUAUUUAGGUAGCGCCUCGUGAAUUCAUCUUCGGGGGUAGAGCACUGUUUCGGCUAGGGGGUCAUCCCGACUUACCAACCCGAUGCAAACUACGAAUACCGAAGAAUGUUAUCACGGGAGACACACGGCGGGUGCUAACGUCCGUCGUGAAGAGGGAAACAACCCAGACCGCCAGCUAAGGUCCCAAAGUCAUGGUUAAGUGGGAAACGAUGUGGGAAGGCACAGACAGCCAGGAUGUUGGCUUAGAAGCAGCCAUCAUUUAAAGAAAGCGUAAUAGCUCACUGGUCGAGUCGGCCUGCGCGGAAGAUGUAACGGGGCUAAACCAUGCACCGAAGCUGCGGCAGCGACACUAUGUGUUGUUGGGUAGGGGAGCG